rnacentral:rRNA from 1 species
GCAAGUCGAACGAGAAAGGGAUUGCUUGCAAUCCUGAGUAGAGUGGCGCACGGGUGAGUAACACGUAGAUAAUCUACCCUCAAACCUGGAAUAACUAUUCGAAAGGAUAGCUAAUACCGGAUAAAGUGGUUUAACAUAAGUUAAAUCAUGAAAGAUUGCCUCUUCUUGAAAGCAAUUGUUUGGGGAUGAGUCUGCGGACCAUUAGCUUGUUGGUGGGGUAAAGGCCUACCAAGGCUGCGAUGGUUAGCUGGUCUGAGAGGAUGAUC